UGGCCACCUUCUUUGUCUCUUCGAUGGCUUGUCUCACCUCCUCUGUAGCCUGCCUAGUCUCCUUGGUAGCCUUUGUUUGGGCCUCAGAUGCCUUAUGCUUCUUCUCUAGCAAGAGCUUUACUCAAUUAAAACUGACCAAGCCCUCACUGAGGAUGGUGACAGCAUAUGCCAAUUGCAUGAAAAAAAAAAGUUAGUAGCCACGGAUAAGAAUUGAACACAAGUGCAAAUGAUAAAAAACUUAUCCUAAGGAGGCUGGCAUAGGAAGUGCAACAACCUCA
rnacentral:lncRNA from 1 species